rnacentral:rRNA from 1 species
GACGAACGCUGGCGGCGUGCCUAAUACAUGCAAGUCGAGCGAACAGACGAGGAGCUUACUCCUCUGACGUUAGCGGCGGACGAGUGAGUAACACGUGGGUAACCUACCUAUAAGACUGGGAUAACUUCGGGAAACCGGAGCUAAUACCGGAUAACAUGUUGAACCGCAUGGUUCAACAGUGAAAGACGGUCUUGCUGUCACUUAUAGAUGGAUCCGCGUCGCAUUAGCUAGUUGGUAAGGUAACGGCUUACCAAGGCAACGAUGCGUAGCCGACCUGAGAGGGUGAUCGGCCACACUGGAACUGAGACACGGUCCAGACUCCUACGGGAGGCAGCAGUAGGGAAUCUUCCGCAAUGGGCGAAAGCCUGACGGAGCAACGCCGCGUGAGUGAAGAAGGUCUUCGGAUCGUAAAACUCUGUUAUUAGGGAAGAACAAAUGUGUAAGUAACUAUGCACGUCUUGACGGUACCUAAUCAGAAAGCCACGGCUAACUACGUGCCAGCAGCCGCGGUAAUACGUAGGUGGCAAGCGUUAUCCGGAAUUAUUGGGCGUAAAGCGCGCGUAGGCGGUUUUUUAAGUCUGAUGUGAAAGCCCACGGCUCAACCGUGGAGGGUCAUUGGAAACUGGAAAACUUGAGUGCAGAAGAGGAAAGUGGAAUUCCAUGUGUAGCGGUGAAAUGCGCAGAGAUAUGGAGGAACACCAGUGGCGAAGGCGACUUUCUGGUCUGUAACUGACGCUGAUGUGCGGAAGCGUGGGGACCAAACAGGAUUAGAUACCCUGGUAGUCCACGCCGUAAACGAUGAGUGCUAAGUGUUAGGGGGUUUCCGCCCCUUAGUGCUGCAGCUAACGCAUUAAGCACUCCGCCUGGGGAGUACGACCGCAAGGUUGAAACUCAAAGGAAUUGACGGGGACCCGCACAAGCGGUGGAGCAUGUGGUUUAAUUCGAAGCAACGCGAAGAACCUUACCAAAUCUUGACAUCCUCUGACCCCUCUAGAGAUAGAGUUUUCCCCUUCGGGGGACAGAGUGACAGGUGGUGCAUGGUUGUCGUCAGCUCGUGUCGUGAGAUGUUGGGUUAAGUCCCGCAACGAGCGCAACCCUUAAGCUUAGUUGCCAUCAUUAAGUUGGGCACUCUAAGUUGACUGCCGGUGACAAACCGGAGGAAGGUGGGGAUGACGUCAAAUCAUCAUGCCCCUUAUGAUUUGGGCUACACACGUGCUACAAUGGACAAUACAAAGGGUAGCGAAACCGCGAGGUCAAGCAAAUCCCAUAAAGUUGUUCUCAGUUCGGAUUGUAGUCUGCAACUCGACUACAUGAAGCUGGAAUCGCUAGUAAUCGUGGAUCAGCAUGCUACGGUGAAUACGUUCCCGGGUCU